rnacentral:rRNA from 1 species
UACGUAGGUGGCAAGCGUUGUUCGGAAUUAUUGGGCGUAAAGGGCGCGUAGGCGGUUUGUUAAGUCGGUCGUGAAAGCCCGGGGCUCAACCCCGGAGGGUCGACCGAUACUGGCAGACUAGAGUACAGAAGAGGUAACUGGAAUUCCCGGUGUAGCGGUGAAAUGCGUAGAUAUUCGCAAGAACACCAGUGGCGAAGGCGGCUCACUGGCCCGGUACUGACGCUGAGGUGCGAAAGCGUGGGGAGCAAACAGG